rnacentral:rRNA from 1 species
UGGGGAAUAUUGCACAAUGGGCGAAAGCCUGAUGCAGCAACGCCGCGUGAGGGACGACGGCCUUCGGGUUGUAAACCUCCUUUAGCAAGGAAGAAGCGAAAGUGACGGUACUUGCAGAAAAAGCGCCGGCUAACUACGUGCCAGCAGCCGCGGUAAUACGUAGGGCGCAAGCGUUAUCCGGAAUUAUUGGGCGUAAAGAGCUCGUAGGCGGUUUGUCGCGUCUGCUGUGAAAACCCGAGGCUCAACCUCGGGCCUGCAGUGGGUACGGGCAGACUAGAGUGCGGUAGGGGAGAUUGGAACUCCUGGUGUAGCGGUGGAAUGCGCAGAUAUCAGGAAGAACACCGAUGGCGAAGGCAGAUCUCUGGGCCGUAACUGACGCUGAGGAGCGAAAGGGUGGGGAGCAAAACAGGCUUAGAUACCCUGGUAGUCCACCCCGUAAACGUUGGGAACUAGUUGUGGGGUCCAUUCCACGGAUUCCGUGACGCAGCUAACGCAUUAAGUUCCCCGCCUGGGGGGUACGGCCGCAAGGCUAAAACUGCAAAGGAAUUGACGGGGUCAU